rnacentral:rRNA from 1 species
UUGAACGCUGGCGGCAGGCCUAACACAUGCAAGUCGAGCGGAUGAAGGCAGCUUGCUCCUGGAUUCAGCGGCGGACGGGUGAGUAAUGCCUAGGAAUCUGCCUGGUAGUGGGGGAUAACGUCCGGAAACGGGCGCUAAUACCGCAUACGUCCUGAGGGAGAAAGUGGGGGAUCUUCGGACCUCACGCUAUCAGAUGAGCCUAGGUCGGAUUAGCUAGUUGGUGGGGUAAAGGCCUACCAAGGCGACGAUCCGUAACUGGUCUGAGAGGAUGAUCAGUCACACUGGAACUGAGACACGGUCCAGACUCCUACGGGAGGCAGCAGUGGGGAAUAUUGGACAAUGGGCGAAAGCCUGAUCCAGCCAUGCCGCGUGUGUGAAGAAGGUCUUCGGAUUGUAAAGCACUUUAAGUUGGGAGGAAGGGCAGUAAGUUAAUACCUUGCUGUUUUGACGUUACCAACAGAAUAAGCACCGGCUAACUUCGUG